UGCAACAGAGAAUGAUUGGAGUAGUAAGGUGUUAAUAUAUGCAGCUGGAAGAGAACUUUAAAAACUAACGGGUAGGGGUAAAGUAAAAAUAAUUAAGAUUAUAUUUAAUGAGGGAAACAGGAAAGGAGGCUAGCACUGUUUGCUCUCUGAGGAAAUGAGAAAGAAGAUAAAUGAGUGAAUAGAGAAAAUAAAGGAGCAAAAAAAAUUAAUGGAGGAAAAAUAAAAAUCACUAGUUUGUUUCCUUUGUCUAAUGGUAUUAUAAAAAGAAAUAUGAAAAAUAUAAUUGUGACAUUAGGGGAGUUUCAUAUUCCUUGAUGAUACAUCAGUCAAAGUUUCAGAUGUAUUUGAUCAUCUGGAUAGCUAUCAGUAGGUAAAUCUUUUGUCAAGAUUAAUCAGCUUUAAAAAAGUAUGAUUUAAAAAGCAGGUCUGUAGGGGCUCAUCUGCAGUGGAGGUAAACUUUGCUUUCUCUGGCUGUAUAGCACCAUAUUUCUGCCAAUAUGUUGUGGAAAAGCAUCUGGCUUAUUCUUGCUCACAGAAAAGGACACAAAAGUGCUUUAUAUUGUGUGGUUAAACUACUGACUUCUAAGCAUCUGCUGCAGUUAGGGAGGAGUAUAUUGAUAUAUCAAUAUCAAUGCCAUAUGGCACAUAGAGAGUUCCUUGCUUAUAAAACUCUUGGUGUUUGUAUGGGGCUGCUUUUGUCUUACAGUUUUCUUUGGAGGUGAUCUGUUGUCUUCUCUACACUCUCAUGGUAGCUGAUGCUGGCACAAGGACCUCUCUCAGGCAAAGUCUGUCUUCUAUGGACAUCUUUGAUCCUUCUGGAUCAGGCUUAACAAUGAAGCCUGAUAUUGUCGUCUCAGCCUCUAGGCAAGCAACCUGUGGUCAUCCACACUGAUCUGUUUCUCCAUUAAGAACCCAGGGUGUGGGAGGAGGGAGAAAGACUGAUGUUGAAAUUAUGAGGCAUUUUCUUUUAACUCGGUGUAUUUGCCUUGUGGUUUCCUGUUAGUGUGAUAUCUCUUGUCCCUUCAGGAGGACCGAAACCAGAACAAUGUACUCCUAGCCCUCUUAGCAUUAUGUAAAAUUUGUAUUUCUCAUGUUUUAAAAUAUAACUAAAGACACAAUUUGAUCUGUCUACAGUCUGACUAGAAUUGCUCUGUUAUGUCUGUCACAGAAUAUUCUUACUAAUCUAUAACUGACAUUAAUUACGUAAGACUAGCAAAGAGCCAGGAAGGCUAUAAUGGUGGUUAGGUGACUCUGAAGAAGCAGAUACUUACAAAGAGAAAUUUAUUUUUGUCUUUUCUGCUAAAAAAAAAAGAGGUUUGGCAGGUGUGAACAUAUCUAGUUACAAAGUAAUACAAGUGUAAAAACCACAAAUUUUAACAACAACUAUAUACACAUGCACGCAUAUGUACAUAUAUAUGCAUAUUUACACACAGGUGUCAACCUUAUCAGAGAUCUUGGAAGAAAGGUCUGCAGUGUAACUUCCUGUUUAGAAGACCUAAGGUGUUAAUACAGAAAUAUUAGAUCUAGUCUUGUGAGCUGGGUUGUGUACAAUUGUGUUAUAAUGUUGACAUAUUGAUGACUUUCUAUAAUUUUAGCUGAGAUAUUAAAGUUGGAUCUCUUUGGCUUUAAACCUACAAGAUUUUUCCUACUUCUUACAGCUCACCACUGAUUUUACCUUGCUAGAUUAGAUCAGUUAACCUUUACUGUUUUCAGACAUGGGCUGCUAAAAUUCCAAGAUGUUGUUAGACAUAACAAAAAGACUUUUUCAUUUGUAAUUCAUAUAAGCUGUAAACAGUGUGCUGUUAUUGCAUAUGGGGCAUUUGUUACAGCGUGGAAUGACUCUAAGAAAUCAAUCUUGUGCUGUUAGGCUUUUGGAUAAUAUUUUUGUAGUGUUGACUAGUAGCGCUAUUCAACUAUUAGACGUUUCUUCUCUUGUCCUCUGAAACUGCUGGUGUUGGAAUUUCCCAGAGACAGGAUAUUACACUAGACAGAAUCACAGGAACUGCACUGUCAGAUCAAAAUGUGUUAGGAAUAUAUUUGUGGUAGUCUCAGCACAACUCUCAGCACAACUCUUAUAAUAUUCUGUGGCAAUAACUAGUCUUGGUUGUAGUUUCUUCUUAUUGUGAUACAGUUUUUCAUCUGCAAUAGUUUUUUUUUCCUUCUUUUUUCUUUUCCUUUCUUUUCUUUUUUUUUUUUUCAAACAUGGGGAAUAAUAAAUAUAGAAUAUUGUUCA
rnacentral:lncRNA from 1 species